rnacentral:lncRNA from 1 species
UGAUGGGCCUCUGGUUGGGCGAAAUGGAAAUUGCAUUUUGAAGGAGGCAUUUUGGUGAGGGCGCCGGCCGGCUGUAAUGAAAGCUUCUCUAAUGAUGGGAGUUGCUGUCCUUUCCUGCCUGCCCUCAGGAGAGAUCGCUCCCCACUUCUCAGAGUCCUCCUCAAUCUGGGAUGAGAAGAAAGAGCACUGACUACACUGAGCAUUCCUGCACCAUGCUGGCUGGAUCCUGGACCUCCCUCUGUCUUCUUCCCCUCAUCUGGCAAAUGGGUACAAUGUCCCCUUUAAGCACUCUGAGGCAUUUCUCUGAGGGUGAAGUGAGACGGUGCGUUUUAAAAAUUCAUACCCACUUCAUUCCACAGUGCAUUUGGGGCAGCUUCUAAAAAUACCUGUGUUAUAAAGAGAUAAAAAUAAAUACUGUGUGAGAUCAUUUUACAAUUGUACUCUGAGCACGUUUCCCUAUUAUCGCUUGUAGAGGCGUAGAAG